rnacentral:piRNA from 1 species
UAGUGACUUCCUCAGCCACACAGGUCU